rnacentral:rRNA from 1 species
AUUGAACGCUGGCGGCAGGCUUAACACAUGCAAGUCGAGCGGGGGAAGGUAGCUUGCUACCGGACCUAGCGGCGGACGGGUGAGUAAUGCUUAGGAAUCUGCCUAUUAGUGGGGGACAACAUCUCGAAAGGGAUGCUAAUACCGCAUACGUCCUACGGGAGAAAGCAGGGGAUCUUCGGACCUUGCGCUAAUAGAUGAGCCUAAGUCGGAUUAGCUAGUUGGUGGGGUAAAGGCCUACCAAGGCGACGAUCUGUAGCGGGUCUGAGAGGAUGAUCCGCCACAAUGGGACUGAGGCACGGACCAGACUCCGACGGGAGGCAGCAGUGGGGAAUAUUGGACAAUGGGGGGAACCCUGAUCCAGCCAUGCCGCGUGUGUGAAGAAGGCCUUAUGGUUGUAAAGCACUUUAAGCGAGGAGGAGGCUACUCUAGUUAAUACCUAGGGAUAGUGGACGUUACUCGCAGAAUAAGCACCGGCUAACUCUGUGCCAGCCGCCGCGGUAA